rnacentral:misc_RNA from 1 species
CUAACCCACGAUAAAAAUAGGCGUGCGUGUGUCAGCUGUGUUAUCUUGCGGCCUUGAACCGAACGUUGGUAUGAGAAAAACGUGUACAUGUACAUGCCAUGUACAUGUACAUGUACAUGUUGGACGACUGGCACCAUCUCGUUUAUUGCGGUAACGCAAAUCCAUGUUAUGUGUUUAUUCACGUACAUGAACACGUAAGUGGAUUCGUGGAACGUGGUAUAUUGUGGUUGUGUGUUAUCCUAUGGAGCUAUCCUAUCUCCAUUAUUAUGGUAUGAGUUUCCUUGUUCGCGAUAAUUCAACACCACGGCGUAUCUCGCGUAUAGCGUUCUCUCCAGCCAUGUUGUAUUGUAUGGUUUGGAGUUUGAUCUGAAUCAUAUAGUCCACUCUUAUGGUCCAACUCAUAUGAGUUUGCUGAUGAAGGAUUCUGAUGAGUAUCGUCUGCGUUGAUGAAGUCAGCACGCUUGAGAAAUGAUGACACCCAGACGUCUUUGUCAUGUGAUGACACUAAUUGUAGCAAGUCUAUGUUUAGUGGAAGCCAGCACGUGUUACAACUCGACUAUUCACGCCACGCCCGGUGCCCAUGACGUCACAGUCUUCAAGGGCGCGGAAACUAUCGAUUGUGAAGAUGGUUUCGGCUGCUCGAAAACUCUGAUAACUAAAGCCGGGAAAACUCUAGGAGUGUCCCGAGGCUGCGGACUGUAUGGCUGUCUGGGUAAAUCCUGCUUUCUUCUUCACGGUCAUCGGCUCUGCGUUUAUUGCUGCAGUCAUCCAAACUGCAACAGCGCCGGCGCUGUGACCUCUGAACUCGCACUACUUGGUUUGUCAUUGGUCGCCGGUUGGCUGAUUAGAAAACAUUAAUGAAACCACGUGAUCGUGGAUAAUUAGGACUCGACAUUGGAUUGGAUGAUUAUGAACUAAAGAUACUUCAAACUCUGAGUUUUCACGAGCGUGCGUUAGCCACCACACGCAUGCAACUAUUAUCCCGCAGCUGUAGUGGAUUGUUGUUGGAGACGUAUCAAGCAGAAGAAGCAGAAUCAGAAACUAGCAAGUUUACUUAGGCCUAUAUAUGACAAGCGGAAUCACGAAUAACGCGUUGGCGCCGUGAACUAUGACCUCUGAGGACAAGUCUCGUGAUUGUCUGUACCAUUACAAUGAUUGGGAACAAAGUUGAAAGUACAGGGUCCUUGAGAAAAACUUGUCUUGUGAGCACUAUGGAUGAUGUAAUCUGCGAAGUCGGGGUGGGGGUGGGGGGGGGGGUGCGAGGGGUUGGUUAGGUCGCUUGACGUCGUCUUUCGCAGCUCAACACAGUAUUUGCAUCUCUUACAAUAUGGGUAAAUUAAAGUUGACGUAAUAUGUUGGACAUGUUACAAUGGAUAAAGCAAACGAAGAAGACGCAUCGGCUGACGUCAUGGGUCACAUGGCCUAUAACAGGCUGACUGGAGGCUCGAUUGUGUCAAAGUUUCAUUAAAUUCCCCAUACAGCAAUAAGAAUUGAAUUAUGUUGAAUAUAGUCAACAAUAAGGGGUGAAGGAAUCAUGAUGUGCCUCGCAUUGCCUGCACGAUUUGCCUAAAAAGUUUUCAUAAUUAAUUUAACCCUAGGAGUCUUUGAGAAUAAGAUGUCCAUUAUCGACAUGAAUAUGCAACAAGUAAAAUAUUAAUGAGUUCGGAUGCAAAAAUAGAUAUCCAUGGCUUAAUCACCAUGGUAACGGGGAUAUGUAAAAGCCAUUUGAUGAGGCCUAACAUUAAUUGGUUAUUGGGCCUUCACUCAGGCUGGAAAAUAUUGCAGUCGUUGAUUUGUUCUCAGUUUCCACAACCUGCCUUAAUAAAAGACUUGUACUUUCGUAGGAGAAAGGAUCUAUGCCAUAAAUGCGAACUCAUAUUAUAGAAAAAGAAGUAAUUUAUGAGGAGGACCUCAUUUCAGAAGUAACUAUUUUUGUCCAUUAAUAUUAUUAUCUUUACUAACAACUCUUUAUGCCUUUUGUAUGAUACCAAGAAAAAUGGAUCUCUUUAAAUUACCGCAACAUGUUAUAUUAUUUAAGUCUUGGAUCCUAAUGUUUGUAAUAAAUAUACACAUAUACUUGUAUUCUUUAAGAAAUUCGUCAUUGUUGGAUUUUUUGUUUGUCGUAAGC